ensembl:lncRNA
CAUUUACUGAUCAUAUAAUCAGAAUGACAAUAUAACAGUAUAACAUUCUGACCACCUGACUAAUACUGUGUUGGUCCCUUUAUGCUGCUAAAAUUCCUCUGACCCAGUGGUUCAUCAGAACCUCUGGGGAUGUCCUGUGGAUCCUGUGGAUCCUGUGGGCUGCAGGGUGGGUCCUACCUAGACCAGGCUGAUCCUGGACCAUCCCACAGAUGCUCAAUCAGAUGUGGAUGUGGGGAGUGUGGAACCCAGAUGUUCAGAGGGAGAUGAUGCCACAUCUGGUCCAGCUGAUGGAAGGUCUUGAAGUUCUCUGACUGGCCUCGACUGAAGAUGGUCGUCUCACUGGAUUUAAGCUGCACAAUGAGGGACGUCUGCAGAGACUGAGAAAGAGUCUCACCACAUCCUGACAUGAGGAAAAAGACUUUAUUGAAGACUACAAUGAGAAAAACUAUCAGACAGCAGACGGCUGCAUUUAAGAGAAGAAGACCAUCAAACAUCCACGUCAGCUGAUGGAGGUCCAAGAGUCUCACCGAACAGCCAACCUACAGAGUGAAGACCUCGAAUCUGAUUGGACGGCCUCCUAUUCAGCCACAUGUGUGAACAAAUGCCUCUAAGCUGAUUUGUUUUCUAAAAUAAAUCUAGUUUGAGUCCUAAUCUAUGCCUGUGUGUUUGCUUCUUUACACCACUGUUAACAGUUUAGGCUGUUAGAUUGUUCCAGAUAAGACAAGUACAAGAUUCUUCAGAGCUGUUCUACCACGAGCCUGACAGGAAGAACGCCAACAGCUACUGAAUGUUCCUGUGGUUCCCUCAAGGCUACAGGAGGAGCCGUACGAGGACGAGCUGGUCCACCUGAUGGUGGCCAGUCGCUGUGGUUCAAAGCCAACACCGACUACGUGGACUUCUACUGGACCACAUGGAGGCCUUCAAACCGGACCAACAAGUUCACCGACUCCCCGACUCGUGGGUCUGAGGAUGCCGCCGAGCCUCGGUCCAGCCGGCCUCCUGUCUGUGGGUGUUUGAGUGCUGAGAGGUUUGUGGAUCCACGUGAACGUGUCUGUGUUGAAACAGCAGCUUUGGACUCAGUAACGCCAGGAAAAACCAAGAGCUCCUUUAUUUGUGACUUCCACUAAAAAAACUGAUGAAAAUAAGUUUGCCAGGGUUCUGACCGAUAACAGAUUAUUAAAUACUGAAAAUAAUUGUUUAAAUAUUCCUUUAAACAAUCCUUUUAGGUCUACAUUUCCUUUACACUGACUUCUUGGUAUAUGUACAAGUAUUUUGGGUGGAAUAUACCAUUAAGCCCGAUGUUCAAGGGUUCUUCUGGGAAUAUACC